AUGACUUCACGCUCGCUGCCUCUCGCUCCGCUAAUACACGGCAGAAGCUUAACCGUCCGUCUUUCCACGCGAGGGGGAAGACGGCGGCGGGUCUCGGCUCUCCAACGCUGGCUCAGUUUUGUUUUGUUUUGUUUUUUAACUCCGGAUGAAGAAGGCGAGGAUGCCCAAGUCGAGGUUUCCACGGCCAAUGGAAGGGAGGGGAGGUGGGGUGUGUGUGUGGGGGGGGGGGGCUCGAGGCGCCUCACGUGAUCGUGCAACCGCUCCCCCCCCCGCCCGUCUACCACCACCACCACCACCCGGUCUUCUUUUUUUCACCCGGGCAAGUAUUUAGUUCCCCGAUUCGGACCAGCCGGACUGAGCGGUGGCCAUGGGACAGGCGAAGGUGCCCGCCGACUUGACCCAGACUUUUUCCUCCCUCCCGCCCUCUCUCCGUUUCUUCCUUACGACGCGCCUCCGCCCGCCCGCCUGCCUGCCUUUCUGCCUCCCCGCCGGGAGGCCGCCUUCCCGGGACCGCAUCAGCAAAAGUGGGAUUCUGCAUCUUUGGUAUUCUUCUCACACCGCCACCGAGUGACUUUGCUCCGCCGCAGUUGGGGAACGUUCCUCAAGAAUGCUUUCCUACAUUAUGAAGACAGUGGCACUUCCUGCAUUCAUCCUUAUCCUAUUAGGCAAAUACAUCUCUAAAUGAGGACCUUCAUGCUUGAAUUCUGUUUCUUCAAAAAAGCCUCUGACUGUACCAGCUGUCCGAACAUAUUUUUAGUCACUUAGUGCUUCCAUCCCCAUGUUGCUACAUUGGAACCUCAUUUUAAGGUCAAAAGUUAGUCUAAAUACAGGAUCUGUUGAAUUGAGAGAACCAGAUGAGUAACUAAAUUAACCCAAGACAUCUUCUGGGGUCAUUAUCAUCUGUAUCUACCAAAGGAAAACAGAUGAGGCAUGUUGGCAGAAUUCCAAGGGGAAAAUUGUAUGGCUUAGGACCAAAACUCAUGAAAGCUGUAUCUACUUGGAGGCCCCUUAAUAAUAGCUAUCUUCACAGAGCAAGCCUUGUGUGCAAUGGAGUGUUGUGAUUCUAAGAUUGCCUGUGAAGCUAUAAUAUUUUGGGGAGGUACAAGAGAAUGAUCUAAAGAGCUGGAAAAGGAGCUGAAAAAAGAGAGAAUGAUACUUCGCAAAAAUUAGGAGGAGCUUCUACCAACAGAUGUACGGCUGUAACUCUAAUGAAACAUUGCUUGGAAACUUCAUGACAGUUUCUUGCAAAAAGUCCAAAAGAUGUUUCCAAGAAGAAAUAAAAUUUGUUGAAGUAUUUUAUUUAAUCAAGGCUGUCAAUUUAGCCAUCUCUAUCAAUUCUAUGAGCUUCUACCAUUCUUCCAUUGUAGAUAUUUGUAAGUCCUUUCACUUUCAGCAUAUAAAUGACUUCUCAUUAUCAUAUAUAAAAAACAAAAUUCCAUAAAAUGUUUUCCAUUUGUUUGUGUGUUAAGCCCAAAAGAAAAGCUUCUGGUUUCAAAUAUACAUUGAGUUUUAAAAUCUUCUGCAUCAAAAUACAUAUCUGAUCCCAAUAUUUUCUACUUUUGUUCCAUGUCCAAAUAUGAAAAAAUAUUUUCUCAGCUUGAUUAAAUUUCUGACACAUACUUGAAAUUCCAUUAUACAUUUUUACAAUUUAUCUGGGGUCUUGUAUCAACCAUAUAUCGUUUUAUAAAAAUUAUUUUUAAGAUUAUAAUUCAGUGUAAAUAUACCCUUUCCCUUUCCCUUUGGUUCGCCUGUAUAUUAUAUCCCAAAAAAUUUGCCCAUUUUAAUAUACAAUCCUUAACUUGUACAGCCUGUAUUUCCAUUUUUUGUAAAAGUUUGUACACUUUAGGAAUCAUAUGAUCAUCAUUUGUACAGAGUUCUGCAACAAACUCAGUUUUACCCUUUUUAAAUUCAUAAUCCUUCUUAUUCAACUUAAUUAUUUCCAUUAGCUGAAGAUAAUGAAACCAAUGGCGUGUGAAACCUUCCAACUCCCAGUCUUCUCUUGUUUUUAGGUACAAUGCUCCUUGGGAAAAAUUCAGAAAAUCAGAUAAGUUCACCAUUUUUGUUUAAUUAUCAUCUCCCUUCUAAAAACACUUAGGCUGGCAACCAUAAAGGGUUUUCAAGAGACUAUUUUGCCUUACACCUAUUCCAAAUUCUAAUAUAGCACAACUAAUAAAAUCAUUUUUGAAAUUUACUUUCACUUUAACUUUGUUGUACCACAGAUAAUAAUACCAUUCAAAUCUUAAUUCAUGACCUUCCAAUAUCCAAAACCCUCCUGUUUCUUAAAGUCACAAUUCUUUCAUCCAAACUAAACAGUAAGUACCAAUGAAGGAGAAUAUUCGUAGCUUAAAAUAAGGGGGAUGUCAUCUGAUGUUAACUUAUGAUGUUACCUAGUUUGGGUAAUGAAACGUCUGCAAAAAAAUAAAUAAGUUUCAAAAUGUGGUAAACCUAGUCCCCCUCUUUCUUUGGUGUGGAUAGUGAAUGUUCAGCUGUAUGGUAAAGCCUUCUGAUUGGGACAGACUUGCACAAAUGAGUUCUCAAAAAACUGAAAGGAAAAUAUUUAGUACCUUGGAGUUUUGGUUUCUCCAUAUUGCACUAUGACAAAAGUUUAUUUAAAUUUUGUUCUUUAAUUACAUACUUUUUGCAAUUCACAGAUCAACUUACAUGUACUUGGCAUCAAAAGUUUGCAUCUGCAUAUGUUAUUCUAAUUUCUAUUGAAUAUUUUGUUUCAAUAAUAUAGAUUCCUCAUUUUCCAACAGCUAGGGUUUUUUUCAUUAAAGUAUUGACAACAAUAAACCCUUGCCAAAAGACUUACUUUAAAAAAAAACCUAUGAGAUCUUUUUGUUCUUGUAAGAUUCAAAGCAAUACUUUCCAAGUGAAUGUAACAAAUUAGCACACAAGAUAGUUAAUUUCAGAACAUAGCACAUAUGAUUUUAAUUACUACAGAAAUAACCCACUGUACACUGAUGCAGUUGUAAUUAUUUUUAAUUAUCUCUUCUUUAUCAUAGUAAAGGAAUCAAAGGCAGGCACUGAGACAUCUUAAGAAAAAGAAUAUUUGCAUAGCUAAGUGAACAUUAGCUAAGUGAAUAUCAGAUUGAAAUACUGAUAUUUGACAAUAGUUCAAUUUCUAGAAGGAAAAUUCUGGGUAUAAAGAUUUAUGAAUUUAAAAAUGUGUAUUAAAAAUAGAAUGGGUAUUUUUUCUUUAUUCUGUCAUUUAAUCUGACCGACUAAAUAUUUAAAAUAUUACCCUUUCAAGUGAUCAAUGUCUCAAGCUGCAUUGUAUUUCCUGCAAUAUGUGAUAAUAUUAAAAUGAAAUACUCAUUAUUGUGGAAUAAAGAAAAGGGACCACCUGUCCUUAGAGCUGCUGGGGAAUGUGUUUACAAUUUCUCAACGCAGUUUAUUUUUUACUAGCUGUGCCAGAGGACUCAGCAGCAAUUGUCAUUUGCACUGUGGGUACUUCAGCAAGGGAUGUACCAUCUAUACGCAGACUAGCCGCAUGCAGUUCAGAGGACCUUUGGAGAGUUCAAGUUCUCUCUGAAGCAGCAAAAUAUAUGCAGAAUCAGUGCCAAAAGACAAUGCCUGCUUUGAAGCCAUCUCCAUUUUGUCCUGGAGAGGUGGGGGGGGACGACACACAACAGGAUUAUUUUUUGAUAGAGUGAAAUAAAAUAAAUAGUUGAGAGAUAAGGUUCACAGUAUGAAAAAUGUUUGAAAAGUGGACCCUGAAAAGGAUGGAAGAUGUUGAAUUUCAGCUUAAACUCCACAGGUAAGUUUGCAGCAUUUAAACCCACGGGUCUACAGUCAUGUCAGAAUAACAUAGUAAUCCCAGAUUUAGAAUCUUUAGAGGAAGUUAUGAAAAAGAAAUUUGCCAAAGGUAUGAACUUUAGCAGAGGUUAAAAGAGGUGACAAUUCAGGAAAGGCUUCUGAUUGAUACAGCAGUAUUGUGGGAGGCCUGCAUAUUCUCUUGGUACUUUGCUCAUGAAAUAUAAAGCCCACUUUAAUCAAUACUUCCAAGAAAGCAUGGAGAAAACAGAUGCUGUAAUUACUUGGCAUUAAAAUCUGGGCUACAUGAUCUCUAAACUGGAACUUCUAGGCAUUGCUAGACUCCUCUAUAAAUAUGGUAAUUUUGUUUUCAAGUUAUCUUGGACAUGGUUUUCUCCAAUUUUUGAAUUAUAUGGUGUAUGAAGAAAUAUAUAGUCCUGAACCUAUCCCCAAAGGGGGUAGGUUCUGACUAUUCCCAAAAUUGAGGUGUUCUGAGAAAUGAAAAUCUAUUUUUAGUAGAAUUUAGAAGUACCCAUCACUACACAGUAACAUUAGCCAUUAGCCAAAGCUAACCAAAAGCUUUCCUUGUCCAGUAACAUAUUUUCCACAGUGAUCAACCACAUUUUUCUAGGAAACUCACAUGUAUACAAUGUUCAUAUUCUCCAACGUUUGGUAUUCAAAGUAUAUUGCCACUUAAAGAUAAUUUAUUAACUUUGAUCUAUAAUAUAUCUGCUGUUAGUGACAAAUUACUCUGAAUCUGAAGUAUGAAUAUUUGCAUAGUAUUUUUUUUACUGAACCAUGAUGGUGCAGUGGUUAGAUUGCAGGCUAACUCUGCCCACAGCCAGGAGUUCAAUCUGACAGGCUCAAGGCUGAUUCAGCAUUUGAUCUCUCCAAGGUUGGUAAAAUGAGGAUCCAGAUUGUUGGGAGCAAUAUGUUGACAUUUGUAAACCACUCAGAGAGUGCCGUAAAGCACUAUGGGCCACUAUAUAAAAAUCUAAAUUCUAUUGUUAUUUAUUUAUUGUAGUAAGUACCGUAUAUAGUCAGAUUUGUAAAUAGGUGUAAAACUGUUCCAUUCUUAUAUAUGAACAUUGUAUCUUGUGGGUCUUGUUUUUAAAACAUUUUCUAGCAAAGGUGAAAAAUAUGCUUUCAAAAUAAAAUAUAUCCAAAUAUUUCAAAAUAUAGUAAGUCAAUCCUGAAGUUAUUGAAUACCUCUUAGCAAUCAAAGGAUGCACUUUUUCAUUUAUGUUUUUUCAUCACCUGACAAAACCCACUUUCUUUGAUAGUCGGGGAGUAAAAUUGGUAGUUAAAUAUGUAAAUGAUUUAGUAUCUUUAUUUUACUGCUCUAUUUAUUUAAAAAAAAUAUGGAUAAAAUUUCAACAACAUUUUUAACAAUUCUAGAUUUUAUUUUAUUUUUUGUAUUUAUUUUGUUAUAGUCACGUAGAGGAAUUCAGUAAGUUAACAGCAGAUAAAAGACAAAAGCAUAGUUUAUGACAUAGUCAUUAAUACAACAAAGUAUGUCUGCUUUAAUUCUAUGAACUUACAGUAAAGUAAGUUCAAAGAAAAUACCCUGUUUCCUCCAAAAUAAGACAUCCCCUGAUAAUAAGCCCAGUUAGGCUUUUUAGCUUUUUGAUGAAUCAAAAAGAGGGCUCUGAAAAUAUUUACAGACCCCUCACAUCCUGGACAGCAACUAUACCCUCAAAACGACACUACGGAGCACUGCACACCAAAACAACUAGACACAAGAACAGUUUCUUCCCGAAUGCCAUCACUCUGCUAAACGAAUAAUUCCCUCAACACUGUCAAACUACUGACUAAAUCUGCACUACUAUUAAUCUCAUCGUUCCCAUCACCCAUCUCCUUCCACUUAUGACUGUAACUUUGUUGCUUGUAUUCUUACGAUUUAUACUGAUAUUGUUUCCUGAUUGCUUAUUUGUAGCCUAUGACUGUCAUUAAGUGUUGUAUCAUUAAGUGUUAAAUUUUUACCCUAUGACUCAUUAAGUGUUGUAAGUGUUGUACCUUGAUGAAGGUAUCUUUUCUUUUAUGUACACUGAGAGCAUAUGCACCGAGACAAAUUCCUUGUGUGUCCAAUCACACUUGGCCAAUAAAAAUUCUAUUCUAUUCUAUUCUAUUCUAUUCUAUGAACUUACAGUAAAGUAAGUUCAUAGAAAAUACCCUGUUUCCUCCAAAAUAAGACAUCCCCUGAUAAUAAGCCCAAUCGGACUUUUGAGCUCAUGGCAAUAAGGCCAAGCACUUAUUUCAGGGUUCAAAAAAAAUAUAAAGACAGGGUCUUAUUUUCGGGGAAACAAGAUAAUACUGUUGUCAUAAUAGCAGCUUUAUGUAGAGUAGAAAGUUGCCUGGAUAACCUGUUAAAUGAAAAGUUUGAAGGCACAUCCUUGUAUCCUUAUUUUUAAAAAUGCAAUGUAACAAUAUAUACCCUAUGGAUUCAAUAUGCCGUCACAAAGUUAAAGGGUCAAAAAAGGGCUUUCUCAAAAUAAAAAUUAAAAACCUAUUAUACACCAUGCUAUAAACUGAAAUUGUGAAUUAAGGAUCCUUAGCACUUUAUGUUUUCUUUUUGGGGAAUCAACUAAACAACCCAUGCCCUGUUGGGUCAUUGUUUCAGAAACCCUUACUUAAACAGAAACAGAAUGACCAAGGCUAGACGAAAAAGCAGUGGGAGCAGGAGCAACUUCCAACUUCAUGCCAGCUUCCCCAUUGAGUUUCCUUGUGGGAAUCUUGCAGCAAGCAUUGUAAAUCUCCCCUUUCCCUUCCCAGCAGAGAAGUAAAUGGCUACUGCUGGGUGAGAGAAGGAACAAGGAAUUGUAAGACUGCCUGGGAAGCUCACAAAAUGUUGACACUGAUCAUGUGAGUGCAGCAGCAGCCAAGAGCACUAAAGCAGCCAGAACUUCCCCGAAUUUCAUUCCCUUGGGAGUCAUGGGCCCUGACUAUUGGACACAUUCUUUAGAUUAGUCCAUUUGAGAGAUACAUUGGUUCAGAAAUCAUUGCCUAUGAUGCACCAUUUCUGGAAGAGAAAAUGCUAGCAAACACCAGUGUGUUUCCUUCGUAAAACUCAAAACUUCCAGAAUGGAGGCAAAAGCAAAGUGAAUGUCAGCAUUCUGAAAGGCUCAGAAUGCUAGAAUUUUCACUGGAUUUGAGGUCUCUGGUGUGUCAAUGGAUUUCUUGGCAUGUUAGAGGAAAAGACUCCUGCAAAUGUCAGCAUUUUCAUAGGGAGAGGGCCCAGGCCCUGUUUCUCUCCCUAGCCCACCAUGCUUAAAAGGUCCAUAUUCUGUCUCAGACAGUCUUAAUGACCUACACAAUCGCUGAACAAUUGCAACUGGGAGAGCCAGGAUUGCAGUCACUGAGUAAAGUCACGUUGCAUCUUGUUUUGUAUUACUAUAUCAUGUAUCAUUAAGUGUUAAAUUUGUACCCUAUGACUAUCAUUAAUCAUUAAGUGUUGUACCUUGAUGAAGGUAUCUUUUCUUUUAUGUACUCUGAGAUCAUAUGCACCAAGACAAAUUCCUUGUGUGUCCAAUCACACUUGGCCAAUAAAAUAUUCUAUUUUAAUGACUGCUUCACUCAAUGCCUGAGAUUAUGGGCCCAAUUGUGGUUGUAGGUUGAAUGCUAUGUGAAUUCAUUGUAUAUAUGAGGCUUGGAUAGAAAUUCAGCAUUAUCCUUCAUUACAGAAACCAGAAAAAAUGAUGCAGUAGUUGUGAAAAUCAUUUUGUUAAAGGCUAGCUAAGCCACAUUCCUACAAGAUAGCAAAGGGUGUCUUAUAAAGACAGGCUGAAUACUUUUAAGCACAGGAAAUUCAUUGUGCAAAUGAAAUUUCUUCCAAAACCUGCAGAAAUCAAUGAAAACUCUAUUACUUGGUGAAGCUGUGAAACAGUUGUACACAUCAUCACACAAAAAGUUGUGCUUUUCUGCCCAUGGGAACUCAUGCAGAUCAUUACUUUAUUCUAGAUUACCUUAACUGUAAAAUUCUUAUUAGGAGCAAGGAAAUAUGCAUUGUCCAUUUAGAUGGAUAAAGGAAAUGUUCACCCACAGCCCAAAUGCAAUUUCCUGAAACACUGCAUUGCAAAUAAAGUAUAGUCAAUAAUUUUUGGGAUGCCUGGUCACAGUGCUAUCAGUAUACUACUCUAUGUUGAAUAUUGGUUUUGUGAUUUGGGUAUAAAAUCUAUCAACUUCCAGGAUAGUGCCUUUAUCAAAAACUGAUAGGGAAGAUCCUUGAUAUUAGCAAAUAAUAAUUGCUUAAGAUGUUCAUUGUUGUUUAUAAUCCCCAAAUUCCAAUUUCGGAAUUCCAAUUCCUUCCAAAACAGUCUCAUUGAAUUUUCUGGGUGUAAGUUGUCUGAAACACAUGGAGGAUAAUAUAUGCAUUUAUUCUAUAGUUCUUAUUGGUUAUCUGUGUCACAGAAAAUACAGGCUAAAAAUUCUCAAUUAGCCAUUGUUAGAGUGAAGAAUAAUAACCAUGUGGAUCAUUUCUCAGGAUACUGGCUUCCUUCCUAACCUAUUUUUUUUUCUUUAUGCUUGCCUAACACAAAUAUAAAAUAGUUAGCUAGAACUGUUCCAAAUCAGUGGCCUAGAAGUUGUGCAAUCAAGUGCCUUUGGCUUUUGUGAAAAUGUGUUGAACAAAUCAUCUUUUGAAAUGCUGAUUAAAAAUAUCUCUAUUUAGCUUUAUGGGCAUCCAAAGGACCUUGCUGCUUUCAUGAAAACAAUGAAACCAUAUUGCUACAAUCUAUGCCCUUUUUGGGUAUAUGUGUAACACCAUAAUGCAUCAAAAACCGAAGGGGCUUAUGCUACAAUGCCAUGACACCGUUUUUUGCCUUCUGAUUCUCAUUGUUAGUUCUGCAAAUUCCAUUACUUCAUCUACUUUAUAAUAGUGACAGUAACAAUAAAGUUUAAGGCAUACAAAAAUGCAAUUAGCAAAUUCAACUUUCAGUGUUACAUAAAUAUUAACAAACCAUAUUUUCUCAACAGUUAAAAAUAUGAACUGCCUGCCUAAAAUGGCUUGAAGGUUGCAUCAUUUACAAAACAACAUAAGAAACCGUGUCGGAGUUUUCUCAAAAAGAUGCUUAAAAUAAGGAAAUCCAGAAGGAGCAAAGGCACUAAGCAUCUAAGUAACAAUGCUUGGGUUGAAUUAAUUGCCAAGAAGCAUUCUGAGGUAAAUUAAGGUUAAUAUUAUGCUCUGCAAAUUUUAUAAAGUGCUGCAACAGAGCCUAACAAAUUCAAGGAGAAGCACAUUCUAAAAUUCUCAGUUAAUUUAUAAACCAAGCUAAAUAUUAAAGCUUGAAAGUGAAAAAAAUUCACAUUUUCAACAGGGUGUUGUACUCUAUGCAUGAAAUUUUCAAAGGGCGAUUCUGCCAAAUAAAGUUGUUUAAUACCAAUAAUUUACUGAAAAUAAUAUAAAUGGAUAAAAAAGUCUCUGCAAUACAGCUUAGCUCCAAAAUUCAGUUCACAUUAAUAAUAUUUACUGUAUCUUGUUCCUGUUCUGUAAGGAUAUCCUGGAUUAUCUAUCUAGGUUUUGCUUUCUUUAUGUCAAAGUUAAAGAUACAUUGAUCAACUGAGAAAUCAUCCAGAAAUUACUAAACUCAGAUUUUAAAAAAAUCAGAACACAAUUUAAAAAACUAAUGAUCUAGAGCAGAGGUGUCAAACUCAAGGCCCGGGGACCAGAUCUGGCCCACAGGGUAUUUAGAUCUGGCCCACAGGGAUGCCCUGGAAACAGCAAAGCCUGCGAUGCUUCUGCCAGCAAAAACGGGCUCCCAAGCUCCGUUAUUGGUUACCACAGCCUCCUACAACCCUCUGCCAGUGAAAACAGAGCUCAGGAGGGCUGCUCUGUUUUCACAGGCAGAGGGUUGCAGGAGGCGGUGGCAGCCAAAAACAGAGCUUGGGACCCUGUUUUCACAGGCAGAGCGCUCGGGCCAUCACAGGCGCCCCCCCAACAGGAGUGACAUCGAGCUGACCAUGCCCACCCUGGCCACGCCUACCCCACUCCCCUGAGAUCAAACACAACCCUGAUGCAGCCAUCAAUGAAAUUGAGUUUGACACCCCUGAUCUAGAGAUUAAAUAGAGUGGGGCCCAGAUUAAUAAAGGUAAUCCUUGGUUUACUAUUACAAUUAACUCCAAAAUUUCAGUUGCUAAGCGAAAUAUAUGUUACGUGAGUUUUUCCCUAUUGUAUGAUCUUUCUUGUUAACGGUUGUUAAGUGAAUCACUGCAGUUAAGUUAGUAACAUGGUUGUUAAGUGAAUAUGAUUUCCCUAUUGACUUUGCUUGCCUGGGACAUUGCAACUGUGAUAAAUAUGAGUCAGUUGGCAAACGUCUUGAGUUUUGAUCACAAGACCAGGGGAUGCUGCAAUGGUUAUGUGAAAAACAGUCGUAAGUCACUUUUUUCAGUGCCAUUGUAACAGAAUGGUCACUAAACAAAUGGUUGUAAGUUGAGGACUUCCUGUAUUUGUUUCCCCAAGAUGCAGAACACUGAAAGCCCGUAAUAUCUCAAAAUUCACCUUUAGAAAAGGUUUCAAAAGUGCUCAAAACAUUCAUAGAAAUUAUAGCAACUGAAUUCCAACCAUUUUGAGUUAAAAGGUUUUUAUAUCAGGUAAGAUGCUAAUAUUAUCAGAACCUGGACAGUCAGCAUUGUAUGCAUAUUGUUAAAAAGGAUAAUCUGAUAAAGCAGCAGAGAAAAUCUCAGGGCCUACUAUGGCUGUUGGAGCCACUUCAGCUCCAAAUACAUGAGUGAAGUGACAUUAGCACCUCUAUAACUGUCUGGUUCGGUUCUGCAACCCAACAAGAAAGACACAGACUUCAGAGGAUAAUUAGAACUGCAGAAAAAAUAAUUGCUACCAACCUGCCUUCCAUUGAGGACCUGCAUACUGCACAAAUCAAGAAUCAAGAGGGAUAUUUACAGACCCCUCACAUCCAGGACAUAAACUGUUUCAACUCCUACCCUCAAAACGACGUUAUAGAGCACUGACACCAGAACAACUAGACACAAGAACAGUUUUUUCCCGAAGGCCAUCACUCUGCUAAACAAAUAAUUCCCUCAACACUGUCAAACUAUUUACUAAAUCUGCACUACUAUUAAUCUUAUCGUUCCCAUCACUAAUCUCCUUCCACUUAUGACUGUAUGACUGUAACUUUGUUGCUGGCAAUCCUUAUGAUUUAUAUUGAUAUAUUGACCAUCAUUUGUGUUGUAAAUGUUGUACCUUGAUGAACAUAUCUUUUCUUUUAUGUACACUGAGAGUGUAUGCACCAAGACAAAUUCCUUGUGUGUCCAAUCACACUUGGCCAAUAAAAAAUUCUAUUCUAUUCUAUUAUG